GGGGGCGCGGGAGCCGCGUGGCGCUGCCCCUCCUCUCUUCUCCCCUGCUCUCCAAGUCGAAGUCCAGGGAGAAAGCUGCGCGGUGACGUCAGCCUGCCUGUAUGCCCAGACGAUGCUGGGCUGAUGGCUCUUCUUCUCCCCGAUUAUAGGCGAUGUGUGUGCGUGUCUGUAGGAGACCCCAGCAGAACGUCAGCCCCGCCGCGAGGGGAGGGGAGGGGGCGCUUUCGUGAUGGGACCGCGGGGUGUCGCAGUCCCCCCUCGUGCCACGCCGCCGUGCCGUCCCCCUACUCCUGCCCAGCCCCGGCGCCUUUCGGAUGUGGUGAUGGAGGGUUGGAGGAAUGGAGGGAUGGAGUGAUGGACAGAAGACCUAAGGAAGGACUUCCUUAUUAUACCAGUUGGCCCAGUGAUGUGCAGCCCUAACCUGAGACAGUGAAUGAACAAAUGAGGAGCCACUGGCCUUCUGCCACCAGUACACCUGCCACGGGGGCUUAUAAGGAUGCCAAAGUGCUGGAAAUCAUGCCCCCAGGCCCCAGAGCUGCACCCCUGAGA